GUGUAGCUCAGUGGUAGAGCAUAUGCUUAGCAUGUACAAGGCCCUGGGUUCAAUUCUUAGCAC
rnacentral:tRNA from 1 species